rnacentral:pre_miRNA from 1 species
AGUGUGAUGACUGGGUCAAAUGGUGGUUCCAUUCCAAGUUUUCUUAGGAAUCUUCAUACUCCUUUCCAGAAUUAUUGCCCCAUUUGCAGUCCCAGCAGCAAU